rnacentral:lncRNA from 1 species
GGAAGUGUGGGUCCGUCUCACCUCCAAGUGUAGGCUCCUCCCAGCCCAGUCUUCAUCGUGGAGCUGAGGAGCCGCUGCUCGGUCCACAGACUUAUUUAACACAAGGCUGUUAGAGGCUCUGCUGACUCCCCGCCACGUGUAAGUCUGGGGUAUGAUACCGAAUUAAGACAGGCAAGGUCUCUGCUCUCAAGAACGUGCGUGGGGUAGGGGAAGGGGAGGGAUGAGACAGGUUAAAAUAAACACGGUACUCUCCAGUAGUGAUUCUUUGUGAAAACAUGAGACAGGGUAGUAGAAUGGGGGGCUGCUUUCAGUAGGUGGGCAGGGAGUGGAGGAAUAGGCCUUUCUCUUCCCCCGUAUUCCAUAUGAGUCAGUUAUCCUAACUCUUGCUCAAGGGACGGGGAGGGGGGACGACUCCAAGCUGCUUGGGUUCUAUUCAAUGGACACAGGAGUUGAGGCAGGUGGACCCAAGAGGGGCCGCAGGCCGGCCUGGGUGCUCCUUCCAGCGGAGCUCUGGACCAGCCUCCGCGUGCGGCCAGGAUUACUGGUCCCUCCCCGCGCCCAGGCGCCGCGCCACCCUCUCUGGCCCGCGGGGGACGGUGUUGCAGGGCCCGAGAGUAAUUAGGGUAAUUAGCGACGUGUUAUCUCAAGACAAGUAACGGGAGAAAGUAUGCCCCAGGCAGAAUUUGGGGUCUCCGAGACAGAACCUUGCAGACGCGUGAGAAGGUGCAGAGUGAAUGCAGGCGCUGCGGUCAUUCAUUCUGAUCCUGGUCAGGAAAGGGUGCCACUCCUGCUUACUAUUGAAAGACAAGGGGCGGGUUGGGGGGGGGGGUGCGUAAAAACGAACAUCUUUAGAAAUGAAGACUCUACAGAGUCCCUUCGGAUGUCUCCACUUAACCCCAGCUCCUCAAUUACAGGGGAUCUCGCCCAUGUCUUUUGUCCUAGACCUGAGUGCCCCUCUUUGGACAAAGCUGAGGCAGCGGUAGCGGAUGGAUGGAGAAAAGAAAGAAGAGGCGUAGAUGGGUGAGAACUCCCUCGGAAGUCUGAGUCUCGGUGGCUGUAUGCUAAGCCCUAAGCCCGGGUGCUAAGCCCUAAGCCCGGGUGCCUGGGAUCCCUUCGGGGUCCCUGCUCAGGAUCCGGCGUGGAUCAGAAAACCCGACUGUUGCAGGAAGGAGCUGAGAAUCAAUCUACGGAGGUGUUUCCAAGCUGCCGAGCUUGAAUCACCAUUUACUUCUGCUCUCCGGGUCUUUCCGUUACCUGAGUGAGUCUGGCCUCUCCAGUCCGCGUGGUCCUGCGACCCACUCACAGGCUUCCUUGCAGUUGGGAGACAGAGAUUCCCAAGGGGACACUCCCGUGGUACCCAAGCAUGUUCACAGUGGGAGCCACCCCCAAGGACGGAGCUGCGGUCCCCAGACCUGCUGAACCAUUCUGGAGUUGAGUCUUUUUGGAUGGGGAUAGAAAGGGGGACCUGGCCGCUAACAUAAUCCACACAUAGUCUUACGUGGGAGAACCACCACAGAAGAGUUCCCCAGCCCUGUGGGCCUUGCUCACUCUGAGAUCUCUAGCACCCAGCACAGUGACUGCUGCAGGAGGCAGUGAGUAAACGUUUGUGAGUCUGUGGUUCCCAUAGUCUUUAGAGGCAAGUUUAAGCCUGGGUUUUGCCAUCCCUGAGAGCACUUGGACUGGGGUCCUCUUGGAAGGUAAGAGGGUGGCUGUAGUUCAAACUCCAAGAGGUGCAGGCUGAUCUGGUAACAAGUUUAGACUGGGUGGUUGGGUGUCCUAGGCCUCUGACAGCACAGUUGUCCUCGCACAGAUGCUUCCCUGUUCCUGGCCUCAGUUUCUCUUGCUUCUAGUUAAACCUAUGUGAGUCUAAUUAACACUUUUACACUCCUUACAAAACUCUAUUUUGACAACAAUCUGUGAAGUAGUCAGGACAAGAGGAAUCCAUCUCAGAGAUGAAGAAUAUAUUGUUAGCAAAGCCAGCUGGCAUUCCAUCCACUUUUUAAAAAAAUAUAUUUUUAAUUGAAAGAUAGUUGACAUAUGUUAGUUUCAGGUGGUUGACGUAGUGACACGACAGUUAUAUACAUUACGAAAUCCAUCCCCUUUUAAGGUCAAGGAGAUGGCAAGAAAAAGAAAAUCGAUGCCCCUAAUCUCAGCGUGGUGCUCAAAAGAGAGGUCCCAGACAAGUCAGAGGUGCUAUUACUGUGUGGUUCCCAUAGGAUUUUGGUAGAAAGUGACUGUUAAACUCGUAAGGCCUUUCAUGAGGUUGGGCCAUUGCAAACUUACCCUCGGAGAAGGCUGACAUUAUACCAGGACAUGUGGGGCUCUGUCUCUUACCUUGCUUCUGCAGGAAUAGCUCUGUCAUCUGGGUAGACCAGGAGGCAGGAACAGGGAAAUGGAUUGCUUUCCAUUUUUCUUUUCUUUUUUUUUUUUUUUUAAGGGUUUAAAUGGCAGAGAAUAAAGCCUGUUGCCAUAGUUAUAUAAACAUGGGUAAAUAUCCCUAGGCUGAGAAUGGGGGAUGUGGGACAUGAUUCAUUUUUGCUGAAGAAGAAUCAAAUAGUUCGACCUCCUCUCUCCUGCCCCUCAAAACUCAGCCUGGAGGGAAGAUGAAAUUGUCUCACUUGAAAAUAAGGAACAUAUCAAAGGUCUGAGAUUGGUUAUGAACAUACUUUCUCAAAGCCACCCAGAGGUGGGCGGGGGUGGCGACGGGGUGGGGGGAGGACCCCUAAAUGGUAGCUCAGCAUUUGCCCCCUGCUGGUGGGGAUAAGUGUGGUGGGUACUUUUCCUGAGGGAGGGGGCGCAACUCCUGGAAAUGGUGUCUAAGGGUGUCAGACUCAUGGGGUUUGCCUACCUACUCAGGGAGGGUGGCCCCGUCUGUCCCACUGCCAAAGCCUGGAGGUCCUGGCACCAAUGACUGAGCUCAAAGGGAGAGGCAGAACCAGUUGCGUCCCAACAGAGCUCACAUCCUACAGUAAACAAUGGAAACACGGCCGUUCUCCUGGCUCCAUAUCCCAUGGCCCCCACCUGGAGGUCCCCACCCAGCGCGUCUUAGCCCGCCCUCUGGAAGAUGCAUCCCUGGGUGAGGCUGUGCCCGUCUCCACUGACAGCAGAAGAGCUGAGGAGUUCAUACUGAUGUGAGGAAAGACAUGCAUGGCCACACACAGUCUGGAAACCUCAUCAUAACAUCGCCCUCCUAAGAGGGGCGUCCAUAUCCCUACUGCCCUCAGGCCUCCACCCCCUGUGCCUGCCAGCAGCUCCCCCACACCUCCUGAGCAUCAACAGGAAAGGCUGACCCUAGAGAUAAACAUGUGCUGUUGGAAUGUGUUCAGAUAUCACUGCGGAACUGUCCCUCUCCAGGCAGAGGACCUCGCCUGGCAGGCAGGCCUGGAGGUGCUGGGCAGAGACUGUGUCUGAGUGUGAACAUGUUGGGACUGCAAGGAGGGGACUGGAGUGAGGCCUAGUUAUUCUUUUUUUUUAUUACUUAAUUAAUUUUUAAAAUUUACACCCAAGUUAGUUAGCAUAUAGUGCACCAAUGAUUUCAGGAGUAGACUCCUUAAUGCCCUUUGCCCAUUUAGCCCAUCCCACCUAUCACAACACCUCCAGCAACACUGUUUGUUCUCUAUAUUUGAGUCUUUUAUGUUUUGUCCCCCUCCCGUUUUUAUAUUAUUUUUGUUUCCCUUCCCUUAUGUUCAUCUGCUUGGUAUCUUGAAUUCCUUGUAUGAGUGAAGUUUGUCUCUCAAAUAUUUGUCUUUCUCUAAUUUCUAGUUCCAUUCACAUAGUUGCAAAUGACAAGAUUUCAUUCUUUUUGAUUGCUGAGUAAUACUCCAUUGUAAUAUAUAUACCACAUCUUCUUUAUCCAUUCAUCCAUCGAUGGACAUUUGGGCUCUUUCCAUACUUUGGCUAUUGUUGAUAGCGCUGCUAUAAACAUUGGGGUGCACGUGCCCCUUCGAAAUAGCACACCUGUAUUCUGUGGAUAAAUGCCUAGUAGUGCAAUUGCUGGGUCAUAAGGUAGUUCUAUUUUUAAUUUUUUGAGGGACUUCCAUACUACUUUCCAGAGUGGCUGAACCAGUUUGCAUUCCCACCAGCAGUGAAAAGAGAUCCUCUUUUUCCACAUCCUCACCAACAUCUGUUGUUGCCUGAGUUGUUUAUGUUAGCCAUUCUGACAUGCGUGAGGUGAUAUCUCAUUGUGGUUUUGAUUUGUAUUUCCCUGAUGAUGAGUGAUGUUGAGCAUUUUUUCAUGUGUCUGUCAACCAUCUGGAUGUCUUCUUUUGAGAAGUGUCUAUUCACGUCUUUUGCCCAUUUCUUCACCAGAUUAUUUGUUUUUUUGGGUGUUGAGUUUGAGAAGUUCUUUAUAGAUUUUGGAUACUAACUUUUUAUCUGAUAUGUCGUUUGCAAAUAUCUUCUCUUAUUCUGAAGGUUGCCUUUCAGUUUUGCUGAUUAUUUCCUUCGCUGUGCAGAAGCUUUUUAUUUUGAUUUAUUUCGAAGCUAGGAUUUUGAUGGCUUCCUGUCUUAAGUUUAGGUCUUUCAUCCAUUUUGAGUUUAUUUUCGUGUACGGUGUAAGAAAGUGGUCCGGGAUUGUGAUGCCUCCUGCUUUGGUUUUCUUUUUCAAGAUUGCUUUGGCUAUUCGGGGUCUUUUCUGGUUCUAUACAAAUUUUAGGAUUGUUUGUUCUAGCUCUGUGAAGAAUGCUGGUGUUAUUUUGAUAGGGAUUGCAAGGCCUAGUUAUUCUUAAAACAAUCUAACUUCUAGCUUUAUUCCUCUGUCCACCUUAGAUGGGACUGGGCUCCUGUGCCUCAUACAAUCCUGAUAUCAGGAGAGACAGCAGAGGGACCAAGUGGCCUAUAUGCUAGAGGUCCCUUGGUUCCAAAGGAAAGAUUCACUUUGGAUUUUAAUUGAAAAAUCUUUUGACUGGCUAGAGAAAUCAAAGACUCUAGGCAUGGGGGGAAAAAGCUCCUUAGCUUUCAUGUCUUCAAACAUGGAGUGUCAUUCCCCCCACUUAUAGAGCAACUGAGGCCAAAAGAGACUGGUCUUUAUGUUGAAGGAACAAAGUUCUCCUGUUCCCUCUUUCUACUACCUACUCUGCAGAAAGCAUGCAGGGUGUGACCUGAGGUGGGUUACCAAGAUGACUAGAACCACUGAGGGUUCUAGUCCCCCAUCCACAAACCCUGUGGUUGAAUUUACACCUAGUGCCAAACUAGGCACCACUCUCAGCCUUAACUUUUGUACAAAGUCACCUGCCUUGCAAGGCCAGGCCAUCAGUCAUGCAGUGGCUACAACUUUUUCUACAACACAGAAGGAAGGUGUUGGGGGAGGGGGCAGGGGAAAGAAACAGCAGUAUAGUAUUUUGGAAAACUCCAUGUGUGAAUGGGCUAUCUUGCCUGAACAAUUCAGAGGGAACUGACUAGUGCAAAAUUAGACGAGUCCAAACAAUGAACAGUUAGUUAUUCAGACUAGUCCAAAUAUGGGCUGCUACUGAGCCUUAUUUGGAAUUAUUUGCAGCUAUGGGUCUUGUGCUUGUGGUGCCUAAGCAAUGGUCUCAUUGCUACUUGGGAAGCAAAUAUUUCCAUUUUGCAAACAUUACUGGAAAAGCAAAUAUUUUUCAACUGCAAAGAGCACCUGAAGAAUGUCAGGGCACACACAGCACAGGGAAAUACUUAAUGCGAUUUGUGCAAACCAAUGCCGGUAGAUGGGAACUGUGUGGAAAGGGAGAGGGAGUCGUUCUCAGCACGCUCCCAGGGACAUUCUGCCACAGCUGGCUCCCUGGCAGCCCUGUGCCCGCUUCCCUGUAACCUCACCUACAUGGCCUCCCACUCAGAGGGAAAGCUCAUUUUGUUACACACUACUUACCAGCCACCCCCCCCCCCACCGCCCCCAGCUUCUGGUUGCUGUGAGCAAAAACCAGGAGUUGGCAGCCUGCCAGGGAGAGACUUGUCGGCAAGACACAAAGAAGGCUACCUGCUUCUUUUCCUGAGGCCAUGGGGUGAGGAGAAAAAGAGGUCACAUCUCAGGUUUGGCUUACUGCAUACUUGCUGCCACCAGGCUGGUUCCCAAGGGUCUCCUGGUUUUCUGCGGGGACUGGAGAACUGUCCAAGCCUGGAAUAGAUGCCAGCCCUGGGGUAUGGCCAGAGACCCCUAGGGCAGCCAGUGCCAGGGUGACAGCUGCUGCUGUGAAGGCUUCUGCUUGACCAGAGAGGCAGGACCCUCUCCCCAGGGUUCUGGGCGGGGGGGUGGAGGCAGGGUGGGCAGUGGCUCCCGGUGGCAGCCAUCUAUACCAAGAGAAAGCCUCAAGUUCCAGAGUGGAAUGGCAAUGAGGCCAAGAGACACUGUCAUCACUUCACAAAUGAAGAUACCUUUUAAAGAAUAGGCACUCCACAUGCAAAGGAGUUUUGGUUUCUACUGCCCUCCCUCUCCCUGCCUUUGGACAGGUUUUCUUUGCUGUGAUUAUUCCCCAUGAAUCAUCAUCCAUAGAAAGUGACUGAGGCAAUGGAGAGUGAAUAAUGAAUCCCCUAAAUGGUCUUUUGUGUCUCUGCCUGGAGGGUUUUGGAAGUAACUUGCAUUUUAAUCUAUCUGACUUGGAAUCAUAGAAUUUGGGAGCUGAGGAGGACCUUAUAGAUAAUCAGGGGAUUGUG